CUUUGUUUGGUUUCUGUCCCUUUUAAUAAAAUAUAUGAAAAUGUCAGUUCCAAAUUCAACACAAAAAUUUCAUACUAAUGAGCUUGCUAUAACAAUACCAGAAUACAAUUUGGUAAUAAUUUUGUUAUCCACUUUCAAACAAAAAUAAUGUUUCUUUUACAUCUUAAGAACUCAAAAAUAAAAUGACAGUGUGUGGCCUCGACAAUGACAACACACC